AUCAAAUCAAAGAAGGCGGGGCUUCACUUUUCAAGCGCGAAUUUCGGCGAGGCGCUUCUGUUUUUAACGGUUGAGGAUUGUGAGGACCGGAACUAAGUGUUUCAUACAAGAAAAUCCAAGAAGAAGCAAGUCCAGUUGGAAAAGCUCUCAUGACUGAGAAGCGACUGGCAGCCAUCAGAUAUAAACUGGAGCUCACUGCGCUUAGCCGGCAGAUUUCAGAGGUGAGUAAUGGAACCGCGGAGAAGGAAACAUCCCAGAAAAGAGAGAGAGGGAGACGUCGCCAUGACCAGCCAUCAGACCAGAGCAAUAAACAUACACUGUUUGGACUCUCAUUCUGACGGCACCCAUUCACUGCAGAUCCAUUGCUGAGCAAGUGAUGGGAUGCUACAUUUCUUCAAAUCUGAUGAAGAAACAAACUCAUCUACAUCUUGGAUGGCCUAACGGAAUUUUAGGAGCAGCAUUAUUAAAGGUCAUUGAAUCCUGCAGAAAGGUUUUUCUGAUGCAGCAGUCCGUCUCUGUGCCAAACUUGUUGGAUUGGUUCACUGCAGGCCUCAGAAAGCAAGAUCUGGGGGAGUUCAGACGAAAACCCCUCAUUUACUUACGAGAGAAACUCAUGAGCAAUUACAGGAGGGAGGAUGUUCAGCAGGAAUCCUGUUGUCAUGUUACAAGAAAGCUAUGAAACAGGAAAUGACAUUACAGAGGCCUGCCUGUCAAGCCUUUGUGCUUGACUCCUCAAAUCCUGUUACUAAGUGAUCUAAGAUCCCUUUUCACAUGCUGGACCAGAAAACAGAUGUCAGCCAAGAGUACAGCUGCCGUCUGAUGUCAGGCAAACAGACACAGAGUCUGAACAGCCCUAAAGUAAAGGCUCUGAAUGCAAUGGACGAGCAGUGAUGAGAUCCUCCCUUCCCUGCCCAACAGAAAGAGAAAAUGCUUGGGAUCAGACUUUAAAAAGACUCGUGACUCAAGGUCUGAGUGUAUUUGGUGGAGUUGAUAAGAUUACAAAGGCCAUUGUGAGGAAACUUCCUGUGUGGCGUUUCUUCAGACCAGCGUCCCCAUGACGACAAUGUCCCCGACUGAUGAUGUCACAAUGGGCCACAGCCCACAGAGCGCUACAUUGUUUCUUCGGUUUCCUCUGAGGAUGCGAGCGAUGAACUCAGGAAAUCUUUUUUUAUUUAAAGAAAUCUGAUUGGUCAGAAGUCUUGUUGCUCUUCACAGCGGCUCUACUGCUGAAGAACAUCUAUAAGAGAACAUGCUCACAAGUGAUUGGAUAAAAUAUUUAUUACCUAUCUAUCGUUCUAUCUUUAAGUCUUUCCAUUCAUCCGUCUUCCUGUCUUUACAUCUAUCUAUCUAUCUAUCUGUGAAAUAUCACCCCUCUGUUGCAUGUUUAAUGUGGGUUUGAGGUUGAUGUGAUGUUUGGGGGUUUUGGACCUUUGAGCUGAUUUCAUAGUUCGUACAAUUCUAUUGUACGUGCUGUUUCAGAAGCGUCAUGUUUUCAGAGAGCGUGUUUGACUUUCACUCACUGUCUCAGCGUGUUUCUCUAACACAAUGGAGAUGUGUAAUGAGGGACAGAGGGAGGUUUUGGGAGCUUGUGAGUGGAUGCUAGAAGACAGUAUUCAGAACAGCAUAUUUCUGAAGGAUCAUGUGACACUGAAGACUGGAGUAAUGAUGCUGAAAAUUCAGCUUUGAUCACAGGAAUAAAUUACAUUUGACUAAAUAUUCACAUAGCAAACAGUUAUUUUAAAUUGUAAUAAUAAUUCACAAUAUUACCAUUUUUUUUUUUACUGUUUUUUGAUCAAAUAAAUGCAGCCUUGGUGAGCAGAAGAGACUUCCAAAAACAUUAAAAAAUCUUGUCAGCUUAAAUUGACCUUAUAUUUCCAUCAUGAUGAAUGAACCGGAAGUAAAACCAGCUUUUGUCUCCUUUUAGACUUUUGACUUUACGGGACCAAAACAGAAUUUGUCUUUGCAGUCAAAUCAAAUAAUGAGUCACUAUCCAUCAUCAUAUUGGAAAUGCAAGGUCAGGUGCAUUGUAUUCUGGGAUAUAUUUAUCAACGGAGCAUACUGUUGCAUACAGUGCUUUUGUGGUAGUUCUGUGCUUACAAAUUUGCAUACUGUGCACAGCAUGCAUAUAAUAUAUUGCAGUACUAAUCCAGACAUAGCCACUAGUUUGAUUUCAUGCAUCUCAGCAGGACUUAAAAUGUGUCGUGCAGAAGUGGAAGUCUGUCAGCUGGGAGAAAAACGGUGCAGUUUUCCACUGUGGUACAAACACUGGGACGGUCUGUGUGGUCCAAAGAACGGGUGGAGACCACAGCGGCUAGAACUCCAGAAACAACCUCACCUGAACCCUACAAAAGAUGUCAUUUCUGAAUUUUGAAUGCGACUGCAUGGGCUUUACUUUUGAGAGCUAAUUUUGUGUCAAAACACAUGCCACUGAAUCAACAUCCAUGCAUUUUGUUGCUUGUGUUUCUUUGGUUCCAGAAAUAAAA